rnacentral:rRNA from 1 species
UACGGGGGGGGCAAGCGUUGUUCGGAAUUACUGGGCGUAAAGGGCUCGUAGGUGGCCAACUAAGUCAGACGUGAAAUCCCCCGGCUUAACCGGGGAACUGCGUCUGAUACUGGAUGGCUUGAGUUCGGGAGAGGGAUGCGGAAUUCCAGGUGUAGCGGUGAAAUGCGUAGAUAUCGGGAGGAACACCGGUGGCGAAGGCGGUUCUCUGGGCCUUACCUGACGCUGAGGAGCGAAAGCGUGGGGAGCGAACAGG